AACAAGUACCGUGAGGGAAAGAUGCAAAGGAUUUUGAAAAGAAAGUUAAAUAGUACCUGAAAUUGCUGAAAAGGAACCGAUGGGAAGCAGUGUCGGUGGCGAGUACUUGUAUU
rnacentral:rRNA from 1 species